CAUGUGAAAAAACUUUAGUUGGUGGGGAAACCGGGAAAGGGAGGACGGGCAUAACCCUAGCUCUACCGGGAACUCGCUGGGUGGGUGCCGCCGCCGCUCCACAACUCCGGCGACAUCGCCGCCUCGCUUCCUACCACCGACGUCUACGCCGAGAUCUCCACCUACAUUCCCUCCGCCGCCCUCUACCUGAACAGCAGCCUGUCCUGGCCGCGGCGCCCUUGACUCAACGCCGAUCGAAGAUCGACGGCGCCGCCCUCUUCGCUCGCGAAGAAUGCCGAGGUCUUCAGGGUGGUACGGGAGAGAUGCCUGGCUUUCAUUUCCUCGCGACGCCCGUGACAGCUCAGCGGUGACGCACGAUAUUGGAGGGCGCCGAUGCUGGUAGGCGAAAUGGAAGGCGUCGCCUGCGCGUUAUUCGGUGGUCCAAGACAUCGGCGGCGCGUGAGCUUCUCCGGCGUAGGUCCUUCCAAGUGUUCGUGGUCGACGUCGAGCUGGACAGGACUUCGUUGCACUGCCGCUGCAGUUGCGUGCGACAGGACGGGUUUGGCGUGCAAUUGUCCUUGCCUAGGGUUCAGUGGCGAGAUGCCCGCUACGGCCAGGUGGCUGACGCUCACGCAGGGUGCCGGGAAGGUGUGCCUGGGCUCUCAGUGGCAGCCUGGUGGCCAGCACUGGGUUACUGAGCGAGUGCCAAGAAGACAUCAACAGGCUCCUUAAGGGUGAUCAAUCUUCUCGUUCUGCCAAGCCUCCACAAGAGCCACCAACCAAUAUCCUCUUCAUCCAGAACUAUCCUGGUCUUUAUGGCGAGGCAUGAUCGGAAUUUGCUAUGAUCCUUUUCUCCGGUGUUUACUUUAGUUAGUUUAUAAUGUUUCGAACUAGAGUUUAGUUCUACAUGUGUUUACUUAAGUUAGUUAUUUUGUUUGAUUGAGAAGUCUGGCGUGUUUACAAAAGUCCAUCUCAGAAUAUACAUUUUAGGGUAUUUUUUCCCUAGAUAUUUUUUCAAAAUACAAGCAAUCACUCUGAUACCUUAACAUGACCCAUUCUACAAACGUGACAAUGGUGUCUUAAGUGAGACCAGAAUACAACACUGUUCAGCACGCAAAUCAACAAUUGGGAUUGCUUUGUUACGUCAGUCGAGAUUGCUUACGGAGCUCCAUCAAAACAAGUUAGCAAGCAUCAGGAGAGAUCACAUAAAAAUAUUUUAUUUCAAACUAGUUGACUGCAAAUAAGUACCAACCAAAAUACUCUUCCAAUUACAGUCAGUUUAACUAGAACACCAUCAGCAUUAUUCCAACAUAUCUAUUCUCCAGUCGGCAACGAGAAAGCUCGACGUCUAGUAGACACAUGACAAGCGUCUUUUGUGCAUAUUCAUCCCGUUAGGCAUUAGCGGUGGUAGCCACCACCUUGGGAAGACAAGGCACCAGCACCUGCAGAUUGGGCACGGACUGCAUAGCCAAUAUCGAUUCCGUGAGCCUGCAAAAGUUAAGAACAAUUUAGUUCCUGCUAUAUUGUUCAUGGUGAAGUUACAACAUUGGAGGUGGGUUGACUCAGCGAAACAGGACAUGAAACAGAGGUUUGUAGAUACCUUGAUCCAGAGCUUUUUCCUCAAGUCACAAACCACCUGGUAUAUGCAUGAAGAGAUAAGAAGGAGACACAGUAAAUAAUAUGUAUAGUAUACCACAAAUAAUAUUGGUGAAAAAAUAUAGAUAUAACUCAUAUCCUUCUUCCUCACUUCUGAAGGUCUUGCUAACCACUAGCGUCUUUUGUGCAUAUUCAUCCCGUUAGGCAUUAGCGGUGGUAGCCACCACCUUGGGAAGACAAGGCACCAGCACCUGCAGAUUGGGCACGGACUGCAUAGCCAAUAUCGAUUCCGUGAGCCUGCAAAAGUUAAGAACAAUUUAGUUCCUGCUAUAUUGUUCAUGGUGAAGUUACAACAUUGGAGGUGGGUUGACUCAGCGAAACAGGACAUGAAACAGAGGUACAUGACGCUUUGUACUCUGGAUUUUCGUUCUGAAGAUAAAUACGGAGUACAUGAAGGAACGACAGAUGGUGGCGGAGUACCUGGCAGCGCCUCUCGAUGUUGCGGCGGCCUCGACGUGUGGCGGCAUAGCUCGCCGGCGAUGCAGGACAAGCCCGAUCUGCUGGCGGCGGCGGUCGCCCGCGAUGGACACGGUGGCGUCGUCAUUCGCCGGUGAUGCAGUAUCUGUCCGAUCCGGGUGGCGGCAGCGGUCGCCCGUGAUGGUCGCCCGCCAUGGAGGACAGGGACGACCUGGUGGCGGCGUCACUCGCCGGAGAUGCAGUAUCUUUCCGAUCCGGUAGCGGCGGAGGCGGUCGCCAUCGACGCAGACGGGGCGUCGAUGCCAGCGGCGGCCGCCCUCGACCCAGAUACGGGCGUUUCUCUCCGCUCUACCAAAGAUCUGUUACCCAAUUGUUGGGCCGGGCCAAAUACUGCUAAUUUUAUUUAUUUUUUCAUUAUCAACGUUUUACUGGGCUGCCGGGCCUAAUCUAAUCGGCUAAUCCUGACCCUUCCUCAAAUCA